CCAGUAAUAUCGUUAGGGUGACCAGAUUUAUCAAUAGAGGCACCUUCAACCAUUAAGAAGAACCCUUUAUUAUUUUUUUCAAGUUUAGAUAAUGCACUAUUUUC
rnacentral:sRNA from 24 species